rnacentral:lncRNA from 1 species
CUGAACGCCUCUAAGUCAGAAUCCCGCCCAGGCGGAACGAUACGGCAGCGCCGCGGGAGCCUCGGUUGGCCUCGGAUAGCCGGUCCCCCGCCGUCCCCGCCGGCGGGCCGCCGCGCGCGCCCGCGUGCGGCGUGUCCCGUCGCGCGUCGGGACCGGGGUCCGGUGCGGAGAGCCCUUCGUCCUGGGAAACGGGGCGCGGCCGGAAAGCGCGGCCGCCCCCUCGCCCGUCACGCACCGCACGUUCGUGGGGAACCUGGUGCUAAACCAUUCGUAGACGACCUGCUUCUGGGUCGGGGUUUCGUACGUAGCAGAGCAGCUCCCUCGCUGCGAUCUAUUGAAAGUCAGCCCUCGACACAAGGGUUUGUCGCUCCCGGCGCCGACGCCGCCACCGUGGCGGCGGCGGUGGUCGGGGGGGGCCGCGGCCGGCUCGCUCGGCUUCCGUGCGUCCGUCUCGCUCUUCCUCUCUCUUCCCGUCCCAUCCCUCCGCGCCGCGGGUCGCGCCCCCCUGCCCGUCCCCGGCGAAGGGGAGCGGGGGUUGGCGGUUCUCGCACGCCGCGUCCCGCGGACGCCCACGGCGCGCCGGGCGGUCGCGGGGCAGGUUGCGCGUCCCGCUGCGGCCUGUCGGGGCGAGAGGGAAAGAAGGGGAAAGCGGGCGCGCCCCUCCAGGCGCCGCCCCCGCGCCUCCGCUACGCGCCUCGCCUCCUCCUCCGCUUCACCCCGCCGGCGGGCCUUCCCAGGGCCCGCUGGGCUGGGACGGGGCGAAGGGGAGUGGUGGGGGGAGGUCGCAUCCCGGAGGCGUGGAGGGGGGAACGUUGGAGGGCCGGCCCUGCGGGAGCCUCUUCCCAGGGGGAAACCGCGGGCCGGGGGGCGUCGUGGGGCCCUGGGUGGCCUCCGAACACGUCCGCGAGCGGGUGCUCCGGGCCGCCACCGGCGUGGGGUGGUGGUCUGUGGGUGCGUGCUCCAGCGUGGCCCUCGCGUGCCUCACUUCCUAAGGGCCCGCGGGGUCGACCAGCUGUCCCGGCCGACUCGGGCCCGGGUCCGAGGGCCCGCGGGGUCGACCAGCUG